rnacentral:rRNA from 1 species
GGCCCGAGCUGUAAUCUGUAGAGGACGCUUUUGGCGCGGUGCCUUCCGAGUUCCCUGGAACGGGACGCCAUAGAGGGUGAGAGCCCCGUAAGGUCGGACACCAAGCCUCUGUAAAGCUCCUUCGACGAGUCGAGUAGCUUGGGAAUGCUGCUCUAAGCGGGAGGUAAACUUCUUCUAAAGCUAAAUACUGGCCAGAGACCGAUAGCGCACAAGUAGAGUGAUCGAAAGAUGAAAAGCACUUUGAAAAGAGGGUCAAAUAGUACGUGAAAUUGUUGAAAGGGAAGCGCUCAUGACCAGACUUGCGCCUGGCGGAUCAUCCGGCUGUCUCAGCCGGUGCACUCCGCCUGGCGCAGGCCAGCGUCGGCUGUUGCGGGGGGACAAAAGCACCGGGAACGUAGCUCUCCUCGGAGAGUGUUAUAGCCCUAUGCA